GGACUACUGGGGUAUCUAAUCCUGUUUGCUCCCCACGCUGUCGCGCUUCAGUGUCAGCAGUAGCCCAGCGGGCCGCCUUCGCCACCGGUGUUCUUCCGGAUCUCUACGCAUUCCACCGCUACACCCGGAAUUCCACCCGCCUCUACUACGCUCGAGCGAGACAGUCCGCACGGCCGACCCGGAGUUGAGCCCCGGGCUUUCACCGCACGCUUAUCCCGCCACCUACGCGCCCUUUACGCCCAGUGAUUCCGGACAACGCUCGCACCCUCUGUAUUACCGCGGCUGCUGGCAC
rnacentral:rRNA from 1 species